UAAGAGAGUUGGGCUGGACGGAUCGGAUCCAUGACACGGGACCCAUUAAAGGGUCGAUUGAUUGGGCGACGAAGGCUGAAACCCUAACGUCUCCUGCAGCUCUUCGGUGCGCCUUCCUUCGUGUCGCCUCUCGCUGGAUGAUCUGUAUGCAUGGUUUUGUUUGGAGGACGCGAGCAGUAAUCCUGGCGCAAAGAGUGCAGAAGAUCUGCUGAAGAUGAAGAUAAUGGAGCAGAAGACGAACGGAGAUGAGGCGAGGCCCGAUCGCCAUUUUUAGUGUUAUUCUAAGUAAAAUCGCGCGGCCCUAAAACCCUAGAUCUGUCGUGCGCCUCCCCAUUCCGACGGUGCCGCACUCUCUCUCAGCGUUUUCGGUGCCUUUGUUGGGAGAUUGAAGGGUGUUCCAAUGUCAUACAGCUAAUGCCAACCUGAUGAUACUUAAAGCCCUUAUUGCCAAUGCCCUUGGGCUUAAUUGGAAAGCUCAAAAUUAGAUGAUGCACAAUGGCCUCAUAGCUAAGCUUGGAGCUCAAAAUUAAUUGGAGAGCUCAUGGUUCUGAAAACCAUCAAGAUCUCAGUUGAAAUUGCACACAGAAAUUGUAUUUACAAUUCUGUUAUAUAAAAUUGAAUGUGCACUUGCAUUUGGCGCAUGCCUCUUAUGGCUUUUAAUUAUUAUUCGGAGAGUCACCAUGACUAACAAUUCCCAUAGUGCUUAUGAUAUCUUUGUAGUUUCUAUUGAAAGAUUUUGCCUGAUGAUGUUGGGAAAUUGCGCAAGGGCUUUGAGCACAGCUUGACAUUGCAAGUUGCAAUGAGAAUCUCCAGUUCUUCCCUCCUGAUGGCAAUUUUCAUGGAAACAUAAAAAAUAUUUGUGUUUUUCAUUCGUUUCCUUUUCGUUUGAUGUUCGCUAAGGUUUUUUCUCGAUUUGCAUUGGAUGAAUUUUGGUUGGAGAUGUCUUCUGAAGCUUUCCGGUUUCAUUCACCACAAGCCUUCUAGACAAGAGUUGGUAAUGAUAUGUGAUGGCUUUUUUUAUUUAUGUGCUCAUUUGUAUUCUGAUGCCACUUUUUAUACUGCAUCCAAAGGCUUUUUAACAUAAUUUCAUUAUUAGUUUUCGGUGCCUUUGUUGGGAGAUUGAAGGGUGUUCCAA